rnacentral:rRNA from 1 species
UUUGGAAGUAAAAGUAGAAACAAGGUUUCAGUAGGUGAUCCCGCGGAAGGAUCAUUGUCGAAGCAUAUGAAGCAACACAACACGUGAACGUGUAACAACAGCUAACCAUCAUAGGAAUCGGGCUUUUGUUUGUGACCUAUGGUGACUUGUCGAUUUGCCUUCUUGGUUGCCUCUUCGGAGAUUCCUUGAUGUCAAAUUCGACUCGAUAACAAGGCCCGGCACGGUAUGUGCCAAGGAAAACAAAACAUUAAGAAGGCCUCGUCCCAUGGAGGCCUGUUUUCUGUGUGUACCUGGGACAGUAGCUUCUUUAUAACCAAAAACGACUCUCGGCAACGGAUAUCUCGGCUCACGCAUCGAUGAAGAACGUAGCAAAAUGCGAUACUUGGUGUGAAUUGCAGAAUCCCGUGAACCAUCGAGUUUUUGAACGCAAGUUGCGCCGGAAGCCAUUCGGUCGAGGGCACAUCUGUGUGGCCGUCACGCAUAGCAUCCCUCCUCACCAAUCCAUCCUCAAGAGGGAUGUGUGUGAUGGGGCGGACAUUGGUCUCCCGUGCCUUUGGUGCGGUUGUCCAAAAUACAAGUCUCCUUUGGAUGGACGCACGGCAAGUGGUGGUUGGUAAAACCUUAGUCGCGUUUUGUGUGUCUUGAGAUGUACAGGAAGACUUUGUGAAGGACCCUACACGUGUUGUCUGGGACGACUCUCGACCGUGAGACCAUGUCUGUUGACAUGCAAUUAACCC